AUUUCAGAAUGCAAUCUGACUUCUGGUAAGGUUGGCAUUUGCGUUCUGCAAAUAAACAUUAGAAAAAGCUGAAACGUUCAUUCCUCACUUGGACUAGAUAUCUUUCUAAAUAAUACUGUAGUUAAAGCACAGUAAUCUUAAACCAGCAGCAAAUUAAUGUCUAAUAUAUUCAAAAAAAAAAUUGUCUUCAGCAGAAGCCAAACUAGAUUAAAAAAAAAAAGUGCAAGAAGCAUUGUUUUAAGAAGAAAAUAUUUUCCACUGUGUUAAAAUGUACCUAUAUCUUUAACAAAAUGAAACUUGAGAUUUUCUUCAAGUGUUGGUUGUUCAUAUAGAAACUUAAAAAAAUAAAAAUAAAAAUCCACAAUUCUAAGUGCCAUAUGACAAAACAAACAAACAAAUAAACAAAUAAACAAAAAAACUUGCUUCUAAUUUUCCCCUUUGUAGCUACUCUGAACUUCCAGUGUUUUGAAUUUGAGAAAAUAGAACAUAUCUUUGCUGUUAGUGGGAAGAAAUAGAAAGACUGGAAUGGGGUUAAAGUAACUCUUAGUACAUUCUUUCCCAAGGGAAACUUGACUGUCAACAGUGGAUUAUGCUAACUUUCCCUUUGUCUAAUGCUUCACAGGUUGUGGGUUUAAUCACCUUUAAAGUGAAGAAUGGAAGGAGAAAGCAGAUUUGAACUAAAGUAUGUGCCAUAAGUUCUGAGUGCUUAAGACCUUACCUCAGCAGUAGAGUUCACUGAUUGUGCUGGAGGCUCUAUCCAGGAGGAAGACCAUGACAAAAAGGGGAAGAAUUCUUCAGCUGUUAAUGAAAGUAUUGCUUUGGCAUAACAAACAUUUUUGGUAUUUCAGAUGCACAGAUUCUAUUAUCUAUUAUCUUUAAAGUGCCUUUCUCUGCUAAGUGUUGGCAGUGGGCUACGGUGACAGUAGACUUUGAGGAGGCCUUCUGGGAACCUUGCCAUCCGUGCCCAUCAUGGUGAAAAUAUUUCAGCACACUUUUCAACAUCAUGGACUCUAAGCUUCCAGGGCAGCAAAUCAAUGAGGAAAAUACUUGGCUGAUGUUCUCCAUUAAGCAUUCCUGGAUGUUGAUUUCCACUUUCUAGAAGCAACUAGCAGUUGGCAGCUCAUUAGAAGAUGGCUAAGGAACAUUUCACUUUGGCCCCUCUAAGUACUGGAAGGCCUCUGUAAGGUCUCCUUGGAGCCUUUUCUUCUCCAGGAUGAACAAUCUCUCAGCUUUUCUUCAUCACAGAAGUACUCUAGCCCUCUGAUCAACCUCAAGGCCUUCUUCUGGACAAGGUUACCAGUUUCCAGAGAUGAACACAGUAUUCUAGGUGGGGUAUCAUGAAAAUGUUUUGGAGGUUUGUCAUACUAACAACAUCAAUAAGAUACAAGGAAGAAAACAGGAGAAAAACCAUGUCUUAUUGGACUAAGUAUCCAUUUUAUUUAGGAAUUUAGCUGCUGCUUCUACGUGUGGCUUUGAAAGACAUACAACUGAGCUAGAUGAUGUUCUGAUGUUCUGUCUACAUCAUAACUCUUCCUCAGGUAAUGUUACAAAAGCUGACUUCUUUUGUUUUCUUUUCUUCUUCACUCUUUACAGGAAUUUUAAUAAUUUUUCUAAAGCCUUUUCACUAACUACUACAUCAUAUUUAUAUUAAGAUUCCCUUUAAUGCUUCAUAUGUUAUAAAAUUGUUAAUAAUUUCAUCCUUUUUAGCUAAAUG
ensembl:lncRNA